AUUUAACAAUCAAAAUAUCUCUCUUCCUCUUGAAUUACUCCGGCUAUAUGUACCCAAUUACUCCCCUCACUCAUCCUUCACUCCCAGUGAACUUGCCUAAGGCCAGGCUAUAAAUCUUAAGACAAUAAAUCACUACUCCCUUUGCUCUCCACACUCUAUUAUCUAACACUCUCCUCCUAAUGCAAUUAACUGCCCCCCCCCCC
rnacentral:sRNA from 1 species